UUUUGCAUUCACAGUCUGAAACCCCAGGCCGUAGUAGUUAUGAAAAGACCAGGGUUACUGGUGACAAAGGAGCGAGCGGAGGAAGGAAUGAGAGGGGCCGGGGUUUUGUGCAAGAUUUAAUAAAAAACAAACAAAAAUAGGAAUGGCUGCUUUCAACAUUUUCCAGGUUGUGAAAGGGUUACCGUGAUUAUCUGGGUGUGGUUCUGAGCUGUGUUAGUGGAACAAUACAAAACGCUGUCCUUCUCCAGAGCCAAAAGGGGUCACUCAGGGUGACAGCCCUGCCC